rnacentral:rRNA from 1 species
UACGUAGGGGGCGAGCGUUGUCCGGAAUUAUUGGGCGUAAAGAGCGUGUAGGCGGUUCGGUAAGUCUGCCGUGAAAACCUGGGGCUCAACCCCGGGCGUGCGGUGGAUACUGCCGGGCUAGAGGGUGGUAGAGGCGAGUGGAAUUCCUGGUGUAGCGGUGAAAUGCGCAGAUAUCAGGAGGAACACCUAUUGCGAAGGCAGCUCGCUGGGACGGUACUGACGCUGAGACGCGAAAGCGUGGGGAGCGAACAGG